rnacentral:rRNA from 1 species
GACGAACGCUGGCGGCGUGCUUAACACAUGCAAGUCGAACGGAAAGGCCCUGCUUUUGUGGGGUGCUCGAGUGGCGAACGGGUGUGUAACACGUGAGUAACCUGCCCUUGACUUUGGGAUAACUUCAGGAAACUGGGGCUAAUACCGGAUAGGAGCUCCUGAUGCAUGGUGGGGGUUGGAAAGUUUCGGCGGUGGUGGCUGGACUCGCGGGUUAUCGGCUUGUUUGUGGGGUAGGGGCUGUCCAGGGGUUCGACGGGUAGCCGGCGUGAGAGGGUGGACGGGCACAUUGCGACUAAGGGAGGGCGCAGAAGCCAAUGGGAGGCAGUAGUCGGAAGUAUGGCGCAACGGGCGGAAGCCAGAUGCAGCAACGCUCGGAGCGGGAAGACCGGUUUCGGGUUGUAAACCGAUUUCGAAUGUAACGAAGAGGGAGUGACGGUAACGGGUAAGAAAGCCACGGCUAACUACGUG